rnacentral:rRNA from 1 species
UACGGAGGGAGCUAGCGUUGUUCGGAAUUACUGGGCGUAAAGCGCACGUAGGCGGCUUUGUAAGUUAGAGGUGAAAGCCCGGGGCUCAACCCCGGAACUGCCUUUAAGACUGCAUCGCUUGAAUCCGGGAGAGGUGAGUGGAAUUCCGAGUGUAGAGGUGAAAUUCGUAGAUAUUCGGAAGAACACCAGUGGCGAAGGCGGCUCACUGGACUGGUAUUGACGCUGAGGUGCGAAAGCGUGGGGAGCAAACAGG